GACGAACGCUGGCGGCGUGCCUAAUACAUGCAAGUCGAACGCACUCUCGUUUAGAUUGAAGGAGCUUGCUCCUGAUUGAUAAACAUUUGAGUGAGUGGCGGACGGGUGAGUAACACGUGGGUAACCUGCCCUAAAGUGGGGGAUAACAUUUGGAAACAGAUGCUAAUACCGCAUAAAACCUAAACACCGCAUGGUGUAGGGUUGAAAGAUGGUUUCGGCUAUCACUUUAGGAUGGACCCGCGGUGCAUUAGUUAGUUGGUGAGGUAAAGGCUCACCGAGACCGUGAUGCAUAGCCGACCUGAGAGGGUAAUCGGCCACACUGGGACUGAGACACGGCCCAGACUCCUACGGGAGCAGCAGUAGGGAAUCUUCCACAAU
rnacentral:rRNA from 1 species